AUACGUAGGGGGCAAGCGUUAUCCGGAUUUACUGGGUGUAAAGGGAGCGUAGACGGAAUGGCAAGUCUGAUGUGAAAGGCCGGGGCUCAACCCCGGGCCGGCAUUGGAAACUGCCAGGCAAGAGUGCAGGAGGGGUAACCGGAAUUCCUAGGGUAGCGGUGAAAUGGGUAGAUAUUAGGAGGAACACCGGGGGCGAAGGCGGCUUACGGGACUGUAACUGACGUUGGGGCUCGAAAGCGUGGGGAGCAAAAAGGAGUAGAUACCCUGGUAGUCCACGCUGUAAACGAUGAAUACUAGGUGUUGGGUUCCAAUAGGGAUUCGGUGCCGCAGCUAACGCAAUAAGUAUUCCACCUGGGGAGUACGUUCGCAAGAAUGAAACUCAAAGGAAUUGACGGGG
rnacentral:rRNA from 1 species